rnacentral:rRNA from 1 species
GAUGAACGCUGGCGGCGUGCCUAAUACAUGCAAGUCGAGCGAACGGACGGGAAGCUUGCUUUUCUGAUGUUAGCGGCGGACGGGUGAGUAACACGUGGAUAACCUACCUAUAAGACUGGGAUAACUUCGGGAAACCGGAGCUAGUACCGGAUAAUAUUUUGAACCGCAUGGUUCAAAAGUGAAAGACGGUCUUGCUGUCACUUAUAGAUGGAUCCGCGCUGCAUUAGCUAGUUGGUAAGGUAACGGCUUACCAAGGCAACGAUGCAUAGCCGACCUGAGAGGGUGAUCGGCCACACUGGAACUGAGACACGGUCCAGACUCCUACGGGAGGCAGCAGUAGGGAAUCUUCCGCAAUGGGCGAAAGCCUGACGGAGCAACGCCGCGUGAGUGAUGAAGGUCUUCGGAUCGUAAAACUCUGUUAUUAGGGAAGAACAUAUGUGUAAGUAACUGUGCACAUCUUGACGGUACCUAAUCAGAAAGCCACGGCUAACUACGUG